AUGCAAAAAUCAACCAUAUUUUUUUGCAUCCCUGUUGUAUGUGCAGUAGAUGUACUCUUGUAUUUGUGUGUUAACCAUGUGUGUGUGUGUGUGCAGUGGCAGAGAGUGAGACACGUGUUGUUCUGGCGUACGUGGGUUCUGCAAUCUGAUAUUGAAUACUGUAUCCUGCAUCAUCAACACGGAUUCAUCAUGGCCUACAGCACACGCACGCACACACAUACAUGCCAGUCUGGAGCUCCUUCACUCUGGACAAAACCGCUGAAAGUUCUCUGGUUGUCUCUGAUUGUCUCCGGGCAGACGUCAGGAUUCCAGCCAAUCAGAGCACGACAUGUGACCAGUACAACAAUGCUGGCAACAUCACACAUGCCUUCUUGUUCCCACCCUGGGUGUGUGUGUGUGCGUGUGUGUGUGUGUGUGUGUGUGUGUGUGUGUGUGUCUUACUGUGAAAAUUUCAUCGAUGCAUUUUAAUAUUUUACCUUUUUUUGGACCUGGUAACAUAUUAAUUAGAAUGUCAUAACUGGAUCUUCUCUCUAUGCUUGAUUUCUCCAAUUAUUUAGCACUUUUAAACUCCACCCCUUGAAGCUUACAUGUUUUAACAUCCAAUUGACAACUGAUAAUUAGAAUUAAGUCAUGCACUAAAUGGGUGUGUGUGUGUGCUGUCAAACGAUUAAUCGUGAUUAAUCGCAUCCAAAAUAAAAGUUUUUGUUUACAUAAUAUAUGUGUAUACUGUGUAUAUUUAUUAUGCAUAUACAAAUACAAACACAUGCAUGUAAAUAAGAAAAAUAUUUUAUGUUUAUAUAUAUUAAAUAUAUUCAUAUAAAAUAUAAAAUAUAAGACUAUAAAUAUAUACAUUUAUAUACAUGUAAAUAUUUUCUAAAUAUAAACUGUAUGUGUGUAUUUAUAUAUACUUAAUAAAUAUACACAGCACACACACAUAUUACGUAAAAAAAAAAAGUUUU
ensembl:lncRNA